UACGAAGGGGGCUAGCGUUGCUCGGAAUCACUGGGCGUGAAGCGCACGUAGGCGGAUCUUUAAGUCAGGGGUGAAAUCCCAAGGCUCAACCUUGGAACUGCCUUUGAUACUGGGGAUCUCGAGUCCGGAAGAGGUUGGUGGGACUGCGAGUGUAGAGGUGAAAUUCGUAGAUAUUCGCAAGAACACCAGUGGCGAAGGCGGCCAACUGGUCCGGUACUGACGCUGAGGUGCGAAAGCGUGGGGAGCAAACAGGGAU
rnacentral:rRNA from 1 species